UACGUAGGCAGCAAGCGUUGUUCGGAGUUACUGGGCGUAAAGAGUGCGUAGGCGGUCCUGUAAGUUUGGUGUGAAAUCUCCCGGCUCAACUGGGAGGGUGCGCCGAAGACUGCAGGGCUUGAGUAUGGGAGAGGUGAAGCGGAAUUCCUGGUGUAGCGGUGAAAUGCGUAGAUAUCAGGAGGAACACCUGUGGUGUAGACAGCUUACUGGACCAUAACUGACGCUGAGGCACGAAAGCGUGGGUAGCAAACAGG
rnacentral:rRNA from 1 species